UCAGAAACUAGAGGCAUCAUAUGUUUUAAUAAAUCCUCUACGGGGGAACCUGAUGAGUACCAGUCAGACAACAGUCUGAGAACAGCAAAGUAGAUAACAGAGAUUUCCACCUGAGAGGUGACUUUCUGCCUCUCACUGUAACUCUGAGUGAGUCACAAUGUCUUCAUGUUCUAAUUGCUGCUCUUCAUUAUACCAGAUAAAAUCGAUUUCCUAUAGCCCAAAGGUGAUUUUGAAAAACAAGAAUAUAUGACAGUCCUCAAGUUCCUUAGAGAAAGAAGAAGAAGAAGAAGAAGAAGAAGAAGAAGAAGAAGAAGAAGAAGAAGAAGAAGCAGCAGCAGCAGCAGCAGCAGCAGCAGCAGUAGGAGUAGUAGGAGUAGUAGCAGCAGCAGUAGUAAUACACAUAUUAGCUAGUUCCACACCUGCAAUCCCAGCAGAGGAUCCCAAGUUCCAGCCUAGUCUGGGCAAUUUAACAAGAUCUCAAAAUUUAAAAAGGGCUGAGCAGUAGCAUAAGUACCUGCCUGGCAAGUGCUAGGUGAUGAGUUUGAUCCUGGGUAACAAAAAAAAGGGAUGUGUGUGCUGAGGAUGUAGCUCAGGGCACAAGCUUGGGUUCAAUCCCCAUCCUGGGGAAAAAAGAUAUAUACAUACUAAAUAAACUUUUAAAAGAGUUUCUGAAGAUGACCAACAGAAAUUAUUAGCAGAUCACACAAAUUUAUAUUUCAAAGACUAAUUUAAUUUUUGGAUAUAUAAAUACGGAGAAAGCAGGUGCUUCCUCCACACUCGAUAUUGGGAAUUAAACUCAGGGCCUUAUGCACCGCUGGGCAAGCACUUACUAUUGAGCUACAUAUUCCAUCUGUUUACUUUCCUUUAUCCCCUUCCCUCUAUUCUCAUCCACUGUGGCUGGCUCUGGAUAGUUAUGUACAAUAAAUAACAUCCUACAAUUAAUAA